CCCUUUCUCUUUCAGGGUGAUGUGCCCCUGAGCGGCAGUGGACUUGAAACAGCAGGGGUCACCAUCUUUAUUGUUCGGCUGUGCAAUUUGUUUUAGGCACAUUCUAAAUCCAGUCUUAUGCCUCUUGCUUUUUUUUUUAUGUGACAAAGAACUAAGUGGACUCCAUUGUUCAGAAUUUUAGCCUGAAUGUCUUAGUUCUGCCUAGGAGAGAAGCAAGAUGCUCUGGUUUCAAGGAAAUAGCAUACAAUUUGCCAAGUACUCCUUUAGACUCUUCCUGAGAAAUCUCUCUGCCUCUAGGACUAUUCUGCCUGUGCUGACCUUAUUCACAAAGGAUCCAUGUCCCCUUUGUGAUGAAGCUAAGGAAGUGCUGGAGCCUUAUAAAAACAGGUUUAUUUUACAGGAGGUGGACAUCACACUUCCAGAAAACUCUGUUUGGUAUGAGAGGUAUAAAUUUGACAUCCCCGUCUUUCAUUUGAAUGGCGAGUUUCUGAUGAUGCAUCGAGUAAACAUCUCAAAACUUGAAAAACAGCUCCAGAAACUUGAGCAGCAAGGUACUGGAGGCUGAUGAAAGCCCUCGUGAUUUUCCAUCCUCGCUGUCCAGAAGGCAUCUUCCCAAGGAAAUGACCACGGCCUUGUAUUCCUUUUGUCAACUGUCACACAGCCCUAAUAAGCUGAUGCUUUAAAAAGGAGUGGAACAAACACUGAAUUUGAGACUGAAUAUUGCUGAUCUUAGUUACAGUGCUGCUGUCUUCCAGAUGUCUCACCAGAUCAUUCGCAGUAACUCUUUGGCCAAUUUAUCACAGGAAACAGAGGUUUGCUCAGGCACCAGUUUCUAAUCACUGGAACCUGUGCAUGUUACUUUAUAUGC